rnacentral:rRNA from 1 species
GACGAACCGUCCAAACGUUAUUCGGAUUCACUGGGCUUAAAGGGUGCGUAGGCGGCUCAGAAAGUAGGGUGUGAAAGCCCUCGGCUCAACCGAGGAAUUGCGCCCUAAACUACUGGGCUUGAGGAACGCAGAGGUAAGCGGAACUUACGGUGGAGCGGUGAAAUGCGUUGAUAUCGUAAGGAACACCAGGAGCGAAAGCGGCUUACUGGGCGUUUUCUGACGCUGAUGCACGAAAGCCAGGGGAGCGAACGGG